ACUUGAUUAGCAAAACAAUCAAAUGCAAAAGGCCUAAGCCCUUUCACCAAAGGUGCGAACCCUCUCUCCAGUA
rnacentral:tRNA from 1 species